rnacentral:rRNA from 1 species
UACGGAGGGGGCUAGCGUUGUUCGGAAUUACUGGGCGUAAAGCGCACGUAGGCGGUUACUCAAGUCAGAGGUGAAAGCCCGGAGCUUAACUCCGGAAUUGCCUUUGAAACUAGGUAACUUGAAUCCGGGAGAGGUGAGUGGAAUUCCGAGUGUAGAGGUGAAAUUCGUAGAUAUUCGGAAGAACACCAGUGGCGAAGGCGGCUCACUGGACCGGUAUUGACGCUGAGGUG